GACAGAGGAUGCAAGCGUUAUCCGGAAUGAUUGGGCGUAAAGCGUCUGUAGGUGGCUUUUUAAGUCCGCCGUCAAAUCCCAGGGCUCAACCCUGGACAGGCGGUGGAAACUACCAAGCUGGAGUACGGUGGGCGGAGGAAGUUCGAUUCGGAGGCGGUGAAAUGCGUAGAGAUCGGAAAGAACACCAACGGCGAAAGCACUCUGCUGGGCCGACACUGACACUGAGAGACGAAAGCUAGGGGAGCGAAUGGGAUUAG
rnacentral:rRNA from 1 species